rnacentral:lncRNA from 1 species
AAAUCCUUCAAGCCACAUUAAAUCCUUACCAUAGCCAGUCUUCAACCCUUCAACAUCCUUCAAAUCCUUCAUAAGUCUUCUAAUUUCACAGUACAUCAACUUCAAACUGAACAUCAUUCCAUCUCUUUUAUCCAUUAUCUAUACAGCAUUUAAUAUCACAUUUUUUUCAGAUCUAACAGUAAAACAAAAAACCUAAACUCUUCAUAAUUCCCUGCAAUAAUUUAAGAAAUUUAGCGAUGAAGCAACAAAUCAUAUCAACUGUUGAAUGCCUACAAUUUUCUUAAAUUACCUUACCUCAUUCAACAACAAAUAGCAAGUCCAGGUGCUUCUAUUGUCUAACAGUUAUCACAAAUUCAUGCCAAAUACUUCAAUGUGCCAUACAAUGUGAUGCUUGAUGGAUAAAUAAUCAACUUUAGUAGCACUUAUUGUCCAAUCUAAAAUGGUCAUUUGCUUUUCUUUAUAAGUCCAAUUUAUAACUUCAAAUAAUCAGUUAUGAUUUCGAUUUAUAAUGAUUCUCAAAUAAACAGCCAUUGGAUAUUCAUUUACUUUUGAAUACACGGCAAAAUCCAUUACAUUAUCUUCGAUUAGACACAAUUCCAAGCUAACAAUUUGUGGCUACUACUUGAAGUCAUAAGAUGAAAAAUAAUACCUUUUUGCUUACUACAUCAGGCGAUCUAACAAAGAUGAUUCUGUCAACAGAGGACACCAAUGCAUUUCCUGUCCUACCAUCUUACCCAUCUUAGUGGCUUCCCUUUUUACCGAAAAAGUCCAACCAAAGUCCAAUCCACCCAAACUCACCAUUAUUAACUGUAAAUUUUGAAAGAAAAAUGACAUCAAAUUACUUGUUAGCAUAAUGACCAAAACUUGCAAAGGAAAACAUCAUACACCAACCAUUCCAUAGAAUCAAGCCUCUGUGUUUUAAGUAUUAUUAAUGUUCAAGCCAAAGAAAACAUAGAAGGAUAUCCAAGGAGCAUUUCUCUUUAUUCAAUAACCAUAAGUUCCUCUCUUCAUCAUCGCUUUCUUUUCCUGCAACCAAUAAAUCCCAUGUCAACUUGUAGCUAUAAAUCUUCAUUCCAGACAUAAAGAUGAACAAAAAGAAUUGAUAUUUAAUUAUGAACAAACAAAAGACCCUUUAUCGGUUUGAUAAAACGUUUGAAAACUGAUAACUCAAAUUGCAUUCAAAUAGACAUAUGUCCAACAUCCAAAGCUACAACAAAUGAAAAAAGAUCACAAAAAAACCAUUUACAGGGUUAGUAAAUAAAACCAGAUCGACAAAUCAACAUACAAACACACCCCAACACACACGGUUAAACUAACAUCAAUCUUAUAGAAGGAUAGAAUGACAAACCUUGAUGAUGUGGAAAUUCGUUUAGGGGUUUUAUGGAGAGAAAAAAAGGAUUGCGGGUGGAUUUGGUGUGCAAUCGAAAACAGGAAGAUCGUGUACCAAAUUUAUGGAUACUCCUUAACGCCAAUCAAUACAACAAAAAAAUACCUUUAGGUUUAGUACCCACGCUUUCUUUUCUUUCCUUAGUGUCC